AGUGAACGCUGGCGGUAGGCCUAACACAUGCAAGUCGAACGGCAGCACAGUAAGAGCUUGCUCUUACGGGUGGCGAGUGGCGGACGGGUGAGGAAUACAUCGGAAUCUACUUUUUCGUGGGGGAUAACGUAGGGAAACUUACGCUAAUACCGCAUACGACCUACGGGUGAAAGCAGGGGAUCUUCGGACCUUGCGCGAUUGAAUGAGCCGAUGUCGGAUUAGCUAGUUGGCGGGGUAAAGGCCCACCAAGGCGACGAUCCGUAGCUGGUCUGAGAGGAUGAUCAGCCAAACUGGAAACGAGAAACGGUCCCAACUCCCAAGGGAGGCAGCAGUGGGGAAUAUUGGACAAUGGGGGCAAGGCCUAUCCAGCCAUACCGCGUGGGUGAAGGAGGCCUUUGGGUUGGAAAGGCCUUUUGGUGGGAAAGAAAAGCCAGCGGCCAAAAACCCGGCGUUUUGAAGGUAACCAAAGAAUAAGCACCGGCUAACUUCGUG
rnacentral:rRNA from 1 species